rfam:Oryza nivara chromosome 10, whole genome shotgun sequence.
AAUAAGUAUAGUUUUACACUAUUCACGUUCAACGUUUGACCGUUCGUCUUAUUUGAAAUUUUUUUAUGAUUAGUAUUUUUAUUGCUAUUAGAUGAUAAAACAUGAAUAGUAAAUAUUUUCAAUUUUUUCACAAAAUUUUCAAAUAAGACGGACAGUCAAACGUUAGACGCGAAUAUCUACGGCUGCACUUAUU